rnacentral:rRNA from 1 species
GGUCAAGUGAAGAAGCGCAUACGGUGGAUGCCUUGGCAGUCAGAGGCGAUGAAAGACGUGGUAGCCUGCGAUAAGCUUUGGGGAGUCGGCAAACAGACUGUGAUCCAGAGAUCUCUGAAUGGGGGAACCCACUCAGCACAAGCUGAGUAUCUUGUACUGAAUACAUAGGUGCAAGAGGCGAACCAGGGGAACUGAAACAUCUAAGUACCCUGAGGAAAAGAAAUCAACCGAGAUUCCCUUAGUAGUGGCGAGCGAACGGGGACCAGCCCUUAAGUUGAUUUGAGAUUAGUGGAACGCUCUGGAAAGUGCGGCCAUAGUGGGUGAUAGCCCCGUACACGAAAAUCUCUUGUCAAUGAAAUCGAGUAGGACGGAGCACGAGAAACUUUGUCUGAAUAUGGGGGGACCAUCCUCCAAGGCUAAAUACUACUGACUGACCGAUAGUGAACCAGUACCGUGAGGGAAAGGCGAAAAGAACCCCGGAGAGGGGAGUGAAAUAGAACCUGAAACCGUAUGCGUACAAGCAGUGGGAGCCUACUUUGUUAGGUGACUGCGUACCUUUUGUAUAAUGGGUCAGCGACUUAUAUUCAGUGGCGAGCUUAACCGAAUAGGGGAGGCGUAGCGAAAGCG